rnacentral:rRNA from 1 species
CCUACGGGAGGCAGCAGUGAGGAAUAUUGGUCACUGGACGAGAGUCUGAACCAGCCAAGUAGCGUGAAGGAUGACUGCCCUAUGGGUUGUAAACUUCUUUUAUAUGGGAAUAAAACGUUCCACGUGUGGGAUUUUGUAUGUACCAUAUGAAUAAGGAUCGGCUAACUCCGUGCCAGCAGCCGCGGUAAUACGGAGGAUCCGAGCGUUAUCCGGAUUUAUUGGGUUUAAAGGGAGCGUAGGUGGAUUGUUAAGUCAGUUGUGAAAGUUUGCGGCUCAACCGUAAAAUUGCAGUUGAAACUGGCAGUCUUGAGUACAGUAGAGGUGGGCGGAAUUCGUGGUGUAGCGGUGAAAUGCUUAGAUAUCACGAAGAACUCCGAUUGCGAAGGCAGUUCACUGGACUGCAACUGACACUGAGGCUCGAAAGUGUGGGUAUCAAACAGGAUUAGAUACCCCUGUAGUC